rnacentral:rRNA from 1 species
UACGAAGGGGGCUAGCGUUGCUCGGAAUCACUGGGCAUAACGGGCGCGUAGGCGGCUUUCUAAGUCAGGGGUGAAAUCCGGCAGCUCAACUGUCGCAGUGCCUUUGAUACUGGAGAGCUCGAGGGAGGUAGGGGUCUGUGGAACUUCCGGUGGAGCGGUGAAAUGCGUUGAUAUCGGAAGGAACGCCGGUGGCGAAAGCGACGGACUGGAUCUCUUCUGACGCUGAGGCGCGAAAGCCAGGGGAGCAAACGGG